rnacentral:lncRNA from 1 species
CUUCAAAACAUCAAAGAUGCAAAAAGAUUCAACAAAGAUUUUUCUGACUUCUUGUAACUGAGAUUUCAAGGCAUAUCCAACAAUUCUCCACCUUGCCUUUAAAUUGAUGGUGAUCCGAUCAACCACCGUGCUGCUCUCUCCAUCUUGAACCUCCAUUCAAGAUCACCGGAUCGUACCUCCCUCUUCAUCCUCGGAAUGCCUUCCGCUCUCAUGAAGAUCUUGCAUCCCACUACCAUAGGAUUUUAGGUAGCCCCACAAGAUUCACCGCACCCUCUUNNNNNNNNNNNNNNNNNNCGCUUGCUCCCAACUAUCAUCGGAAUUUUAGAUAGCUCAACAAGCUCCACCAUCCAUCUUCAGCCCCCGGAUUGUGCCUUUUCCGUCCUCCUGAAGAAUCGCUUGCCUCCGACUAUCCAUGGGAUUUUGUGAUAGCCCUACAAGCCUUCACCACUCUUCGACCCCGGAAUGCCUUCCGUACUCUCGAAGUUUUGCUUGGCUCCAAACCAACCUUGGAAUUUUAGGCGGUUCCACAAGCUGCAACAUCAAACUCUCCUUGUAUCCAACUACCUCCAGCAGUCUCACAAGUUACCAAGUCUGAUCACAUGUUGCUUUCAAUUGCCUCCCUGAAGAUCCACUCAAGGUCUUGCACUUCUUCAUCCACAAUUGAAACAUAAUCCACAAGGUCUCCAUGGUCAUCCCCUUUGGUUCAACAAUACCACUCUC